CCCCAGCACAUGCACUGAUACUCUUUCAGUCUCUUCAGCUGACUAUGAUGAGGCAGACAUAGCAGUGAACAGGCAGUCUCCACGGGCUUGCAGCAGAGAGACAUUGGAUGCUGAAAAGGCAAAACAGACUAUCCAAGAUGCCCUGGAAAAACAAUCUGGUGGUGAGGAAGUUUUGGAGGAAUACCAGGUAACUAAAACUUUGAAGCACAGCACCAGACGCCAACUUGUCAAUAUUGUUGUCAGUCACAUGACAGAGACUUACGGGAGGAUCCCCACCAUAAACAGCGUGAGACUUAUGCUUUAGGAAUUGUUAGUCUCUUUCCUUCUUUGAGAGACCCAUUUUCAGCAAAGGGCUAUGAACAUUUUUAUGAUCCAGAGAAGGGGACCGGGUUUAUCUCUUGGCGCCUUAAAACUUUGUCAAGGAAGAACCCAAA